CAGUGCUUCCUGACUGCUUGACUGACUGGACGGCCGGCCGGCCAACUUACCUCAGCUGUUGCAGCCGUUGUCAUUCAGAUGAUUAGUGCUCAGUUUGGAACUGCGCCUGCGCAGCGUUCUUGUCGAUCGUUGUUUUUUGGCCAGAUACUUUCAAAAGGCACAAAACUGUCGCCUGGUCUGGAAAUGUAUCGCGUGCGUGGUUGCGUGCUCCUUGGUUGCAUGCCGCAUAAGCGGAACCUGUCCUCGGCUCAGGCACUCAUCUCGUAUGCACACUGGGCAGAAUCAACAAUGCCUUAAGCCAACUUGAUGAGCCCUCAUCAUUUGCCUGGCCAGAAAGGCCACGAACUGGUCAAUGUGCAGAUAAGAGACACCUGCUCCCGCAUUCCGGCAUUGAUUGUUGAAUCCAAUUUCGUAUACUCAUUAAAAUAAAUGUGUUUUAAAGUGAGUUGAAUUACUAGAGACGCAUUUUUCGAUUCCACUCACUUUUGGAAUCUGUAUGAAGAUUAUUUGUUUAUAAAUUGUUAAAUAUAAUAUAUAUUUAUAUAUUAUAUAUAUAUAUAUUUAUAUUAUUAUAUAUAAAUUGCUAAAAUAUUUAAAUUAUAUAUAAGUUUAGUGUACAAGGAGUAAUAAUUCAUAUGGUUUAGUAGGCAAUACUAUAACAAUAACUAUUUUACCAUUAAUGAUUUAUGAGCAGUAGUGCCAACCUUAUAUUUUAUUCUGCAGCCAGGUGUUACAACCCAGUUGGUUAUUACAUAAAGUGAUUUGUUUUUAGUAUAAGUGCAAUUGGAAAGAACAAUGCUGGUGGCCCAUCAAAUCGUAUAGAGUACCUGCUUUUAGCACCUGCACGAGACCUCAAAAGAGCCUUCAAUGGGAAGCACCCGUUGAAAUCCCCAUCGAAUAUGAGUGGAAUGAAAUUUGAACUCCAUUCGAGUCGUGCCACGCUCACAUUUAAUACCAAUUCAGGGAGUGAACUGGAGAGGACCGACAGACUUUCCAGGCCAUUACCUUAAUAUGCUGACCAUAACGUGAGCCAUUCGCUGCCAUUUCCAGCCACAUUUCCCUGCAUAAAAGCCAACAAUAUAACGGGCGACAAUGAAACAAAUGCUCAGUGGGGUGGUGGCAUGGACACGAGGGCAAAUGGUCGGCUAGUGGGGGUUGGGAGAGUGCCAUGCAAAUGGCGGUAGCCACCACUCCCAGGUGCAAUGCCCCAUCCCACAAUGCACUUGUCGUGUGCAACAAGCUAGAACAGAAUGACAACAAACAAAGGCAUCAAAUUAAAAACUAAACUGCGUCCACUCAAAAUAUGCAAACAGUACGGCCGGAUGGCAAGGGCAAGUUGUAUGUCCCAUGCAUGUGGCAUGGAUGUGCAUGUGGCCACCGCUUGAUUAUGCAGCCACAUCCAUUGAUGAUGGCCACCACAAAGGGGCUGGCCAGCAGCUCCGGCUUGUUCUCUGCCUUCUCUGACCAACGUUCGCUGCCAGCACUACAUUAAAAAGUAAAACCGAAAACGACAUCGAAAUAAUAGGUAGUGCGCAAUUGGGAGACCCGAAGAUGGGAAUACACUUGGAUACCUUCAAUAUGCCCUUACCUUAAUUGUUAGGCGAUAAUUGGAGAACAUACUUUAAUUGUUAAUAAUAAUAACUAAUGUACGCAGCUUCUACAGCUUCUAACU
ensembl:ncRNA lncRNA:CR45266 long non-coding RNA:CR45266